UUAACUAAAACUGCGACACAGGGUCACCCUGCAUUGCAACUAUCUGGGAAAACUUUAUGACCCUCUCCCAUCCCAUUCCUCAUUCUUACUUGCUCCACUCUCCCUCCUAGCCCAUCUCCAUCGGAAUUGAGUUAAACUCUAAGCCUACCAACUGAGGUGAUAGGUUUGCUGACUGCAUUAGAGCAAGUUAGAGAGAGAGAGAGAAAGAGAGAGAGAGAGAGAGAGAGAGAGAGAAAGAUGACACUAAUGCUGCAAAGUUGUUGAAUGGUUUCAACCACCAAAAAAAUGGCUCUUGUUUUAAUCCCCGCCUCACAUUCACAAUGCCCCCUUAGCUUCUCCAUCCGACCUUCUCUCUCUAAAAACAAGCAAAUCAUUGUUCUUCACUUACAAAUUCCUGGUCUCUCUGCUUAAGCUCUCUCAUCUUUGCACACAUAAUUUUCAGAGCUUGUAUGCUAUGAUAUAUGGGCAGUGUCUCAUGGUUUUGUAUGAAUUAGGGAAUGGGAUCUGGGAAAUGGGGCCUAGUGGUCACGGAGCUACUGGAUUUUAGGAAUUUUAGGGUCUUAAGUUUUUAAAACAUAGGGUUUGGUUUGUGGAUUAGGGUUUAAGGUUUUGAGAGCUUUAUUUUUUAAUUAUUUCAUUGUGAUGUUUUUUGCAUAAUCCUCUUGGUGAUUUCCGAUCUUCUGAUUUUAGGGCUUGCAUACUGAUUUUUUAGAUUCCAUGCUGUUAAAUCUAUUUGAAACAUAUUGCAUCUCAUGAUGAAUUAGGAUUCAGUGAGUAUAAAGAUUCUUUUUUUUCUCCCCUUGAUUGUUUUAGGAAAUAAGUUGAUAUUGCUGCCCAAAAAAAAAAAAAAAUCAAUACACUUUAAAUUCCUUGAUGCAAUUUUUAUUUUUGGAUCUUCUGGUACUGUGAAUUUUCAUUUUUAUUGCUUUCAUUUUGGAUGCAAAUUUUGCCUCCCAUUAUUUUACUUAUGCCCCUCAAUACAUGGGAGAUACUACCCCCGAGCCAAUAAAUUUUUGCCACCACAGUUUUGGGCUGUUAAUUAAGAUCCAAAUAAUGGUUCUCGUUUUUCUUCCUUUGAUAUUUUGUUUAUGAUAUGUUUUAUGUAUAUUUUUCUCUAAGAAUCUUCAUUGACAUGCUUCCAUUGGAUAAUGAAGUUCCUUUAUCCAGUAUGGUUGACCUGUGUUCAAUCAAUGUUAUAUAUGCUUUAAUUUCCUAGCUUACUAUAGUUAGUUUGUAGAAUACUGCUAUCAUGUAUAUACUGUGUAGAUUCCUUCUUCUUACCAUAUGGCCCCUUUCUUAUUUGUAUGUAUUUCAUAAGAUGUUGUUUGUGGUGACCUUUUGAGAAGGAUAUAUACUUAUUUUUUUCUAAUGUACUUGUGUGGUUGCAAUUCAAUUAUUGUUGAGUGUCUUCCAUUUUUAAGAUGCAUAGAUAUAAGAACAAAUUUCAAUCUUAGCUCUACAUUUUAUAAGAAAUGCAUUAGAUAGUUUGUAGCAAGAAAAUCUUAUUCAAAAUAUGCAUUUGGCAAAUCAAUUAUAUACAUAAUGAAUGGUUAAAACAUGCAGUUUCUAGCUCUCCCAAUACCAAACAGGUGAAAUAGCAACACCAUAGUUUAUCAAACAAGGUUCCCAGCUUCCAAGCUACCAAUUUUCACUUUCUUCUCAGAUUCUAGGAAAGUCAGCAACUAGGAUUUUCCUAGAAAAACUGCAAAGAAAGUUAUCAAACACGCCUUUAAAGAAAUCAAAGCUGGGGAAAAGCACAUCUACAUGGGAAACAACACCUACUCUGGUAUAUUAGCUGUUGGAACAUAUAGAUUGUGUGUAGGGAUAAUUAAUCUUGCAUUGAUUAAUGUGUAUUUUGUGGCUAGUAUGAGGCAUAGUGUUGUAUUUGUCCCCUUAUUCGAAAUGGCUUAUUCGAAAUGGCUUUGAAGUUCGCUUUCGAUCCUUAUAUUUCUCAAUUGGUAAGCAUGGCCAAAUUUAUGCUUGGGGACACUUGGUUGAUGAGUAAAACCUAGUCCUUCUAAUGUAAAUAAUAUAAAUGAUAAUAAAGUUUCCUCUUAAUCUUAUCUUGAUAUUGUAAUAGUUGUUGAUGCAUAUACUUAGCACCUUAGGCUAGGAUAGACAAGUAUAAACAAAAUAACUAGGUUGUUGUAGAAAGUCCUCAUUCCGAAUCUAAAUAAAGUAAGUCUAAACUUGUCAGCAAUAUUCGUCAAAAAAGUGACUGGGAAUCAUUAAGUCAGAAGCUUUAUAAAUUUUUAAGAUGUAUAAAAAGGAAGUAAAAAAUCAAUUGGGUAGGAACAUCACAAUGUUUCGAAUUGAUUGAGGAAGUGAAUUCACCUCCUCAUAAGCCUUCAUUAUUUAUUGCAAAGAAAAUGCUAUUUAAAAUUUUAAAUGCAUACUACUAUGUCUUAGACACCAUAACAUAAUGGUGUAGCUAAAAGGUGCAAUAGAAUUAGAGAUGACUAGGUCUACGAUGCUCAUGCUAGUCUACCUAAGAACUUUUGGGAAGAAGCAUUGAGCAUUGCUCUGUAUAAACUUAAUAGGGUUAGCCAUAGCUUCUACCCCGAUAGGAGACCUAAUUUUAGCAACUUAAAGAAUUGGGGGGUUCAAUAGCACAUGUUCUGAUUCUACACCAACACAAAGAUAAAGUGGGAAAUAAAACUCUAAUAUGUAAUUUUAUAGGAUAUCCCAAAGAUUCAAAGGGUUAUAUGUUUUACCAUAAGGAUAAGGGUCUCAUUGAAAGUAGAGAUGCUUCGUUCCUAGAAGUCCUUGAUGUAGAAAAUCCACAUUUCGAGGAUAAAGGCGAUCCACUUAAGAUUCUAGGUGUUUAAAACCAUCACCAGUAGUGGAUACUCAUAACCAUAACCAGCAUUAUGGUAUUCAGAUAACAACACAUCCUAUGCUAAGUGGUCAAAAGAGGUCUAAGGUUCCUCCUUCAUAUCUUGAUGACUUUUUUGUUUUACAUGUGUGAGGGCAUAGAUAACUCCGUUAACUUAAAUGACGUUGAUGAUCUCAACUGGUGUGUUAUCUUCCACUGCAUUACUAGGGUCAUGCAAAUGAUGGAGCAUGAUUCCCUAUUCGAAACAACAUCUUCCCCCUACCCCCCAUUAAAAAUCGAAAGGACCAGAAAAAGGGGCAGAGCAAAUAAAGUCUAUCUAAGCAUGAUAUUUGGUUCAUAAGAUGAUGUCGACAAUAAUUACAUAUGCUUUGCCUGAGCAAAUGGAUUUGACUUUCAUAAGGGAAAACUUGUACUAACAAAGGUCAAAGGACUGAGAGAGGAUAUUAUUGUACUAAGGAAGGUUUUUACGAUGACAAAAAAGGGGGCCUUUGCAAAUUGGCAUUCUUAAACAAGGUGUGGAUGUACGAUGAGGUUGUGCAUCAAAAAAGAUCAUCAUCAUCAUCAUCCAAGCUUUAUUCCAAUUAUUUGGGGUUGGCUAUGUGUCUACAUGAAUCUUGUUCAUCCAUUCUUCUAUAUCAAGGGCCGUACCCUCAGUAAGAUUAAAAGUCACCAUAUCUUUUCUCUCUACUUUUAUCCAUGUCCUUUUGGGUCUUCCACUUGCCUUUUUAGGAUAUUUCACUUGAACCAAAUUGUACUUCCUAAUCGGUGUUAUAUUAAAUUUACAUUUUACAUGACCCUCAUCUUAUCGGCUAUUGAAGCCACACUUACGUUCCUUCAUAUAUAUUCAUUCCGAAUCGUUUCCUGUUUUGUCACUCAUCCAUCUCAACAUCCUCCAUCUCAGCUAUGCUCAUCCUAUGGAUAUUAGUUCUUUACUGCCCCACAUUCCAUCCCAUAAAGCAUGGCUGGUCUUACAACUAUCCUAUAAAACUUCUCCUUCAGUCUCAUUGGUAUGCGACAACCACAAAAAAUAUUGGAUGCAUAUCCAAACAAAGAUGCUAAACAUAAAUAGGUUGUGUUUAGGUAUAUAAAGUACCAUAAUCAUGUUUUAGGUAUGCCAAGGAAGGCACGUCUCAUUCACUCGCGUUAAAGAUUGCUUUAGGCCACCAAGAUGAUAAUAGAUUCAAUGAGCUUUGUGAUGGUCAAAAUACAAAGUUUAACAUUGUGAUGGGUGUAAUUAAUAAGAAUGAUUACUUUUUUUAUGUUUCGGUAAAUAUUUAUUUUUUAUAAGUAGCUUAAUCAUUAAGUAAAUGUGUUUUAGAGAUUUCACAUAAUUCAAUGACAUGUUAAAAGAAAGGGUCCAUGUAAGGAAAUUUUUUAUUAGUACAAAUGUUAUUGUCUUUUAGUAAAAAUUUCAACUGUCAUUUUCAAGAUAACAAAAGUACCCCUUGUCUUUUAUUGAUAAUUACAUAUGUACUUUUACUUAAUAACGAAGUUACCCAUACAUAAAGUUUAAUAAUUUUUAAAUGAUAAAUCCACCAUUAAUGACCCAUUCUAACCUAGGCUACACAGUUCCAAAGUUGAACUUAGACUUUCCUACUUUGAAAUUUUAACCAAAAAUACCCUUACAAGUCAAAAAAUAGAUUAGCAAUAAGUUGUUUGAAAAUUUUAAGAAAGGGCACCCUAAAUCCAAAUAUGAUUCAAAAAGUCAAAGGAAACUUUUUAUUUUAAAAAAUGAAGUCAAAGGAUACUUCUUAAGUUUGACUUUUAUUUUUGGUGGGGUUUUGAAAUGACCAAAAUACUCUUUUUAAAAUACAUGAACUAUUUAUAGUCAAAAGUCAAUGUUAUUUUAUGGUAAAAAAUUUGGGAGUAGAAAAUUCUUAGUUCGCUGAGGUAGUUAAUAGCUCCUCUGUCAAUCCCUUUACCCACGAUCCUCUCCUCAAAACUUUAAUCUUGGCUCCUCAACCCCAUCACCCCAAAGCAAACUGCAACGGCCCUGCCAUUGCUUUUAAUCUUAAGGUUAAUUUCGAUGUAAUAUGAGCACAGAGUCACUCUCAGCUAAACCUUCUCAACAAGUUGUCACUCUGGGGAAAGCCCUCAAACUGGCGGAAGGAUGGGUCAAGAAUAUGUGUGGAUCGGAUGCCGAUGACUCACUGUUUCCUGAUGUUUAAAGUCGGCCAGCCAGGCUUGGACUGGGUGCUAAGUACAUACCCCAUUCAAAAGCGGUUGCAAUAACUGACCCCCUUGAGAGAAAACUUCAUGCCAAACUGGUCUCUGCAAAAGCUCGAAAUGAAAGAGACAAUGUCGAACAAGACCAGAAUUCUAAAGGUGUCAAAGAUGAUGAUGACAAUGAGGAAGAUUUAGAAAACAGAAACAAUGCGAUUUGUAAGAAAGGCACAGGAGUUUGGGCUGAGUUUUUGCAGGGAAGGAAUUCGAGUGGGAAACAGAGGAAGAGAAGAUGAGCAGAAAGUCCAGGCUGCUGGCUAGAACUUCCGAUUGGAUGUGAAGCUGGCUGAACUUUAGUUGUAAAGUGAGUGAGAGGGAGAGAUCAUGUAUGUCUAAUGACCUAGCAAAUUUCUAGCCCUUUUCAAAUUUUUACUGUUAAUUAUCAAUUUUUAAUGUUUGCUUGAAUGAAUAGUGGAGCAGACCAAGCUGUGCUGUACUUUUCUCCUAAAGGGUACAGAGAAUUGUGCAUCUCUUCCAUUUCA